rnacentral:misc_RNA from 1 species
CAGUAGCCCACCUCUUACUUGGCCAUUGAAUGGAAAAACAGAAGCUCCACUCUGGGCAGGAAAUAGGAUCACUGAAUUAUAACAGUGGGAACAUACUGGAAGAGGUUAAUGAAGCUUCUUUUGCUGACAACUCUUUUUGCCCUUAGGCUCCCCAAAAAGGCCACAAAGACAGCCCCACCUGCCCUGCCUACAGGUUAUGAUUCAGAGGAGGAGGAAGAGAGCAGGCCCAUGAGUUACGAUGAGAAGCGGCAGCUGAGCCUGGACAUCAACAAAUUACCUGGGGAGAAGCUGGGCCGAGUUGUGCAUAUAAUCCAAGCCAGGGAGCCCUCUUUACGUGAUUCAAACCCAGAAGAGAUUGAGAUUGAUUUUGAAACACUCAAGCCAUCCACACUUAGAGAGCUUGAGCGCUAUGUCCUUUCCUGCCUACGUAAGAAACCCCGGAAGCCCUACACCAUUAAGAAGCCUGUGGGAAAGACAAAGGAGGAACUGGCUUUGGAGAAAAAGCGGGAAUUAGAAAAGCGGUUACAAGAUGUCAGCGGACAGCUCAAUUCUACUAAAAAGCCCCCCAAGAAAGCGAAUGAGAAAACAGAGUCAUCCUCUGCACAGCAAGUAGCAGUGUCACGCCUUAGCGCUUCCAGCUCCAGCUCAGAUUCCAGCUCCUCCUCUUCCUCGUCGUCGUCUUCAGACACCAGUGAUUCAGACUCAGGCUAAGGGGUCAGGCCAGAUGGGGCAGGAAGGCUCCGCAGGACCGGACCCCUA